rnacentral:rRNA from 1 species
CGAUGCAUGGCGAGCCUGACCGCCUCCGGGAGUGAAGAAGGCCUUCGGGUUGUAAAGCUCUUUCGCAAGGGAAGAAAACUUAGGCGCUAAUAUCGCUUGAGGUUGACGGUACCUUGAUAAGAAGCACCGGCUAACUACGUGCCAGCAGCCGCGGUAAUACGUAGGGUGCGAGCGUUAAUCGGAAUUACUGGGCGUAAAGCGUGCGCAGGCGGUUUUGUAAGUCAGAUGUGAAAUCCCCGAGCUCAACUUGGGAACUGCGUUUGAAACUAUAAGACUAGAAUAUGUCAGAGGGGGGUAGAAUUCCACGUGUAGCAGUGAAAUGCGUAGAGGUGUGGAGGAAUACCAAUGGCGAAGGCAGCCCCCUGGGAUAAUAUUGACGCUCAUGCACGAAAG